GAAAUGCGAUAAGUAAUGUGAAUUGCAGAUUUCAGUGAAUCAUCGAAUCUUUGAACGCACCUUGCGCUCCUUGGUAUUCCGAGGAGCAUGCCUGUUUGAGUGUCAUUAAAUUCUCAAUCUUCUUUGGAUUUUUUCAUUGGAGACUUGGAUGUGAGGGUUUGCCGGUUGUUCAAAUCGGCUCCCUUUAAAUGUGUUAGCGUUGCCUCAGCCGAUCGAACGCCCCUCGGUAUGAUAAUUAUCUAUGCCGUGUCGGGAAUCGCACGAGAGUAUGCUUCUAACAGUCCCUCUUGGGGGACAUAUUCAUCAUAUCUUGACCUCAAAUCAGGUAGGACUACCCGCUGAACUUAA
rnacentral:misc_RNA from 1 species